rnacentral:rRNA from 1 species
AACGAACGCUGGCGGCGUGCCUAACACAUGCAAGUCGAACGAGAAAGGGGCUUCGGCUCCGAGUAAAGUGGCGCACGGGUGAGUAACACGUGGGUAACCUGCCUCUAAGAUUGGGAUAACUCGUCGAAAGAUGAGCUAAUACCGGAUAAGACCACAGUUCCCGCGGGAACAGGGGUCAAAGGUAGCAUCUGCUUGCAAGCUAUCACUUAGAGAUGGGCCUGCGCACCAUUAGCUAGUUGGUAGGGUAGCGGCCUACCAAGGCAAAGAUGGUUAGCUGGUCUGAGAGGAUGAUCAGCCACACUGGAACUGAGACACGGUCCAGACUCCUACGGGAGGCAGCAGUGGGGAAUAUUGCGCAAUGGGCGAAAGCUUGACGCAGCAACGCCGCGUGAGUGAUGAAGGCCUUCGGGUCGUAAAGCUCUGUCGGGAGGAACGAAUGCUCCCAAGGUUAACAGCCUCGGGAGGUGACGGUACCUUCAAAGGAAGCACCGGCUAACUCUGUGCCAGCCGCCGCAGUAAUAC